CGAAAGCCCGACGGAGCACUACCGCGUGAGGGAGGAAGGCUCUUGGGUUGUAAACCUCUUUUCUCUAAGGAAUAAGAUAUGAAGGUACCUGAGGAAUCAGCAUCGGCUAACUCCGUGCCAGCAGCCGCGGUAAUACGGAGGAUGCAAGCGUUAUCCGGAAUGAUUGGGCGUAAAGCGUCCGUAGGUGGUUUUGCGUGUCUCCUGUUAAAGCGUGCGGCUUAACCGCAUAAGGGCGGUGGAAACUGCAAGACUAGAGUACGUUCGGGGCAGGGGGAAUUCCCAGUGUAGCGGUGAAA
rnacentral:rRNA from 1 species